GUUGUAUAGUCAAGUAAUUAAGUGCAUGUGGUGGAUGCCUUGGCAGUCAGAGGCGAUGAAAGACGUGAUAGCCUGCGAAAAGCUCCGGGGAGGCGGCAAAUAUCCUUUGAUCCGGAGAUGUCUGAAUGGGGAACCCACCUACUUUAAGGUAGGUAUUGCAACAUGAAUACAUAGUGUUGCAAGGCGAACGAGGGGAAGUGAAACAUCUCAGUACCCUUAGGAAAAGAAAUCAAUUGAGAUUCCCUCAGUAGCGGCGAGCGAACGGGGAUCAGCCCAUUAAGUUAUGUGUGUUUUAGUGGAACGCUCUGGGAAGUGCGAACGUAGAGGGUGAUAUUCCCGUACACGAAAGGGCACACAUAAUGAUGACGAGUAGGGCGAGGCACGUGAAACCUUGUCUGAAUAUGGGGACCAUCCUCCAAGGCUAAAUACUCCUGACUGACCGAUAGUGAACCAGUACCGUGAGGGAAAGGCGAAAAGAACCCCUGUGAGGGGAGUGAAAUAGAUCCUGAAACCGCAUGCAUACAAGCAGUGGGAGCACCUUCGUGGUGUGACUGCGUACCUUUGUAUAAUGGGUCAGCGACUUAUAUUCAGUAGCGAGGUUAACCGUAUAGGGGAGCCGUAGAGAAAUCGAGUCUUAAUAGGGCGUUUAGUUGCUGGGUAUAGACCCGAAACCAGGCGAUCUAUCCAUGAGCAGGUUGAAGGUUGGGUAACACUAACUGGAGGACCGAACCCACUGUCGUUGAAAAGCCAGGGGAUGACUUGUGGAUAGGGGUGAAAGGCUAAUCAAGCCUGGUGAUAGCUGGUUCUCCCCGAAAGCUAUUUAGGUAGCGCCUCGGACGAAUACCAUAGGGGGUAGAGCACUGUUUCGGCUAGGGGGUCAUCCCGACUUACCAAACCGAUGCAAACUCCGAAUACCUAUGAGUACUAUCCGGGAGACAGACUGCGGGUGCUAACGUCCGUAGUCAAGAGGAAAACAAUCCAGACCGCCAGCUAAGGCCCCAAAAAUCAUAGUUAAGUGGGAAACGAUGUGGGAAGGCAUAGACAGCUAGGAGGUUGGCUUAGAAGCAGCCACCCUUUAAAAGAAAGCGUAAUAGCUCACUAGUCGAGUCGGCCUGCGCGGAAGAUGUAACGGGGCUAAAACUAUGUGCCGAAGCUGCGGAUGUAUACUUUGUAUACGUGGUAGGGGAGCGUUCUGUAAGCCGAUGAAGGUGUGUUGAGAAGCAUGCUGGAGGUAUCAGAAGUGCGAAUGCUGACGUGAGUAACGACAAAACGGGUGAAAAACCCGUUCGCCGAAAGACCAAGGGUUCCAGUCCAACGUUAAUCGGGGCUGGGUGAGUCGACCCCCUAAGGCGAGGCCGAAAGGCGUAGUCGAUGGGAAAAUGGUUAAUAUUCCAUUACUUCUGUGUAAUGCGAUGAGAGGACGGAGAAGGCUAAAUCAGCCUGGCGUUGGUUGUCCAGGUGAAAGGAUGUAGGCAUGUAUCUUAGGCAAAUCCGGGGUACUCUAUGCUGAGAUCUGAUAGCAAGCUGUACUUGUACAGCGAAGUGGUUGAUGCCAUGCUUCCAGGAAAAGUCUCUAAGCUUCAGUUACACAGGAAUCGUACCCGAAACCGACACAGGUGGUCAGGUCGAGUAGACCAAGGCGCUUGAGAGAACUCUGCUGAAGGAACUAGGCAAAAUGGUACCGUAACUUCGGGAGAAGGUACGCUGUUGUUGGUGAUGGAACUCGCUUCCUGAGCUGACGACAGCCGCAGAAACCAGGCCGCUGCAACUGUUUAUUAAAAACAUAGCACUCUGCAAACACGAAAGUGGACGUAUAGGGUGUGAUGCCUGCCCGGUGCUGGAAGGGGUUAAUUGAUGGGGUUAGCGUAAGCGAAGCUCUUGAUCGAAGCCCCAGUAAACGGCGGCCGUAACUAUAACGGUCCUAAGGUAGCGAAAUUCCUUGUCGGGUAAGUUCCGACCUGCACGAAUGGCAUAAUGAUGGCGGCGCUGUCUCCAGCAGAGGCUCAGUGAAAUCGAAAUCGCUGUGAAGAUGCAGUGUACCCGCGGCUAGACGGAAAGACCCCGUGAACCUUUACUGCAGCUUGACACUGAACUUUGACCUUACUUGUGUAGGAUAGGUGGGAGGCUUUGAAGCUGGAACGCUAGUUCCAGUGGAGCCGUCCUUGAAAUACCACCCCUGGUAAUGUUGAGGUUCUAACUCUGUCCCGUGAUCCGGGACGAGGACCGUGUCUGGUGGGUAGUUUGACUGGGGCGGUCUCCUCCUAAAGAGUAACGGAGGAGUACGAAGGUGCGCUCAGCGUGGUCGGAAAUCACGCGUAGAGUAUAAAGGCAAAAGCGCGCUUUAACUGCGAGACCCACAAGUCGAGCAGGUACGAAAGUAGGUCUUAGUGAUCCGGUGGUUCUGUAUGGAAGGGCCAUCGCUCAACGGAUAAAAGGUACUCUGGGGAUAACAGGCUGAUACCGCCCAAGAGUUCAUAUCGACGGCGGUGUUUGGCACCUCGAUGUCGGCUCAUCUCAUCCUGGGGCUGAAGCAGGUCCCAAGGGUAUGGCUGUUCGCCAUUUAAAGAGGUACGCGAGCUGGGUUUAGAACGUCGUGAGACAGUUCGGUCCCUAUCUACCGUGGGCGCUGGAAAUUUGAGAGGAUCUGCUCCUAGUACGAGAGGACCAGAGUGGACGAACCUCUGGUGUACCGGUUGUGACGCCAGUCGCAUCGCCGGGUAGCUAUGUUCGGAAGGGAUAACCGCUGAAAGCAUCUAAGCGGGAAGCCUACCUCAAGAUAAGAUUUCCCUAGGACUUUAUGUCCUCUAAAGAGCCGUUCGAGACUAGGACGUUGAUAGGUUGA
rnacentral:rRNA from 1 species